rnacentral:rRNA from 1 species
UACGUAGGUGGCAAGCGUUGUCCGGAUUUACUGGGCGUAAAGGAUGCGUAGGCGGAUAUUUAAGUGGGAUGUGAAAUACCCGGGCUCAACCUGGGUGCUGCAUUCCAAACUGGAUAUCUAGAGUGCGGGAGAGGAAAGUGGAAUUCCUAGUGUAGCGGUGAAAUGCGUAGAGAUUAGGAAGAACACCAGUGGCGAAGGCGACUUUCUGGACCGUAACUGACGCUGAGGCAUGAAAGCGUGGGGAGCAAACAGG